GUUUUUGAUGCCUGGCAACUGCAUUGGCUAGUCUGCAGUUUUCUUGGGAAGAUGUUUUUAGAAGUGGCUUGUCUUUGCCUCCUUCACGAGAGAGAUGGAAUGGCCUAAGUCCCUCAGAUGGCUUCGUGCUCAAGCUGGUAGCAUCUCCCACAUUCUGUCACCGAUAGACCGAAAGAGAGAGAGGAGAGAGAAACUGAGAACUAACCUGUUGCCCUCUCAGUAUGUUCCGUCUGACUGGAAUUUCUGGGAAUUAUCAUCCCAAUCCAUCAAGAAGGCCCUAAUUAGAGAAAUUUUUGGGAAUCUUAGGAGUUCUCAAUAAGACAAAAUUGUUGUACUGCAUUAAGUGCUUGAAGUACUGAUUAAACGCCCUGCGUGCUCUCUC